rnacentral:rRNA from 1 species
CCUACGGGUGGCAGCAGUGAGGAAUAUUGGUCAAUGGCCGGAAGGCUGAACCAGCCAAGCCGCGUGAAGGACGAAGGUGCCAAGCAUUGUAAACUUCUUUUGUCAAGGGACAAAAUCAGGCUCGAGAGCCUGACCGAGGGUACUUGAAGAAAAAGCAUAGGCUAACUCCGUUACAGCAGCCGCGGUAAUACGGAGGCUGCGAGCGUUGUCCGGAUUUAUUGGGUUUAAAGGGUGCGUAGGCGGUCUGUUAAGUCAGCGGUCAAAGCCCGGGGCUCAACCCCGGCGAGCCGUUGAAACUGGGUGUCUUGAGAUGUCGAGAGGUAUGCGGAAUGCGCGGUGUAGCGGUGAAAUGCUGAGAUAGUGCGCAGAACUCCGAUUGCGAAGGCAGCAUGCCGGCGGCGAUCUGACGCUGAGGCACGAAAGCGUGGGUAUCGAACAGGAUUAGAUACCCGAGUAGUC